GGCGGAUUAUAAUCCAGAUUAGUAUUUAUGGGAAGAGGAUUUUACUCUUGCGGGCACAAAGUACAAAAGACAGGACCUUGAGGCAACUAAGGAAUCAAAGAGGCCACACCUUGUAAUGCAGUCAUUAUGUGGGUUCACCUUUCCCAGAGGACACUCCUUUACCUUGUGUUGUAUACUGCCAUGGAAACAGUCUUCUACAUAUCCUUCGAUCGGUCGGCACUGUCUCUAUUCUUCGACCGGUGAAGAGUGAUG